UAGAAAUUUAGCAAGAAAGUGUAAAAGAAUUUGAUUUACGCAUCCAUAAUAAUUCUCUUCUCUUCCUCUUACCCUUCUGAUUUCUCUCCUUCUUGUUUCCCUUCUCUUUCCAUCCUCGGUUCUCCUCCGCGCCUCUCCUCUCCCUCUUUCUCAUGCUGUCCCCUUUCUCUAAUUUAUACACGUAUAACACCCCAACCUUCUUUUUUUUUUUUUCUUUUUUAAACAAAUUAUUUCGCAACAUUAUCCAUCACCAACCUCUUUUUCUUUUUCUCUUUAUUCUUUUUUUUCCUUUUCCCUGUUUCCUGGUUCUUUUCUUUCGGCCGUGGCAUACCGAUUUUCUUCUGCCGUUUUAAUUAUAAAAUUGCACUUUAGCCCCUCAACUUUUUAAGUAUUAACUUUAAUAUUAAAUGGUUCUCUUUUAAAUUUUAAACCUCAACAAGUUACUAAUCUUUCACUUUAACCCCGGAACAAAUUAAAUGCCCUAAUUAAAUAAAAUUUUUUUGAGAAAUAACUAUAGGUAAUUAAGAGUCGGAUAUUACAUUCUUCCCAUCCUUAAAAAAAAAUUGUCCUCAAAAUUUUUUUAUUUCUUUUCGUUCUCUUUUCUUCCCAACCGAACUCUUCACUCCAUCAAUUCUUUCUUUACUCUAUAUAUAAAUUGAGUAUACAGUAAGGGGACCACCAACUUUUUCUUUCCUAUUUUGUCCUGGCUAAAAACUUUCCUGUAAAUUACAUUUCAGUCCCUAGACUUUUUUAAUAUUAUAGUUGGUCCAUAUAGUUUUCUGAUUAUUACAAUUACACUUGGUCCCUAGAUUACUAAUAAUUACAAGAUUGGUCCCUAGAUUUCUGUAAAUUACAUUUGAGAACCCUUAAGUUCGUUAUUGCAUUUUUGGUCUCAAAAUUUUUUAAUUUUGUCACUUUGACCCAAAACUUUCUAUUUUGGGGCAAUUUGAACCCGUGAAACAUUCCUUAAAUUUUUAAUAAUUAUAGUUUAGUCCUAGAUUUUACUGAUAUUAUAGAUGGAUCCCUAAAGUUGGCUGUAAUAUAUUUUUAUACCCUAAAAUUGUAAUUAUUUUCAAUUUGCUUUGGCUUUACCAAUUUUUUUUUUAUUUUGCUCCCCUAAUUUUUUUUUUUUGGAAUUUUGCCUAUACUGAAUUUUUUCGAUUUUGGCCAUAUGAAUCGUAAAUCUCUACCAUAAUUUUUUUCUCGAUUUGCCCCACUCAUAUUUAACUCAUUUACCAUCAUUUGUUUAAUUUUUUUCAAACGAUUUUGCCACUACUUCAAUUAACUCAUUUACCCCCCCUUUUUUUUUUAUUUGCCCCUACUUAAUUUUUUUUUCGUCCAUCUUGCCCCUCCUCACAUUAACUCAGAAGAUUCGGUAGGUGGGUUAGGAUUGCUUAUUUUACAAACUAACCCAUUCAUAGCACGGGUAUUUCUGAUUUGCCUCCUUAUUAAUGUGAGUGAAUAGUAGGUCCAUCUACCACCCUUUUUUUUUUGUGUGAUUUACCCCUUUGUAACUUUUUUUUUUAACUCAUUUACCACAAUUUGUUUUUCGAUUUUGGCCUUUAGUGAAUGUGAUGAAUAACCUCAUUGCAACUAUUUUUUUUCUAUUUUCAUCCCUUUGAACUUUAUUUAUCACCAUUUUUUUGUUUCCGAUUUUGCCCUUCCUCCAUUUUUAUUUUCGAUUUUUCCCUUAAAUUACUCAUCGUGCAGAGCACGGGCAUACCCCCACUAGUACUCAUAAUAAAUGUGAUGAAUAUAGCAAGUCACCACCACUUGUCCUUUCAAUUUUGCCCCUCUUUAAUUUUUUCCGACAAUAAAAUUACAGUUCAGUCCCUAAGACGUUCUUUUACCUUAUAGUUGGGGUCCCUAGAAUUUCUAUUUAGUACAGAUUGAUCCCUAAGAGUUACUAUACUUAACAGAUUAGUCCUAAAUUGUUCAUAAAUUAUAUUUUUAGAUCCCUUAAGUGUCGUAUUAUAAUUUGGUCCUACAACUUUCUGAUGUUUGUUAACAAUUUGAUCGGUGACAUCCCUAGAAUUUCUGAUAUCGCAUUUGGUCCCUAGAUUUAUAUUACCCCCAACCGUUUUUUUUGAUUUUAAAGCCCCUGGCCAUAAUUUUUUCAUUGGUUUGUUUCGAUUUGCCCCCCACUUGUGAGCCCCUAACUAUUUUUUUUUUCAUAUUCUUUUUUGGGAACCAUCUUUUUUUUUUACCACAUUUUUUUUUUUUCACUUUGGCCCCUAUCAAUUUUUGUUAGCAUUUUUUUUUUAUUGAUUUUGGGCCCCUAACUAAUUUGGCCCCGACCAAUUUUUUUUGCCAAUUGGGCCGUUUUUUGUUUUAUUUUAGUGACCAUAAACUCAAAACCCCCAUUUUUUUUUUUCGAUUUUGGCCCUAACCCAUUUUUUCUUUCUAUUUUCUUUUGUUCGAUUUUGCCCCUACUACAUUUUUUUUUCGAUUUGCCCCCCCACUUUUUUCCAAUGUGCCCCUGACCAGUUUUUGUAAUUUUUUUUUGGUACUAUUUUUUUUUACCACCAUUUUUUUUGUCGAUUUUUCCCCCCACCCAUUUUUUAUUCAUAUUUUUGCCAUUUUUUAUUUUGAGUGAACGUAACGCACAACUCUUGUUUUUCCCCCAUUGGGCCCUACCAAUUUUUUUUGCCAAUUUGCCCUUUUUUUAUAUUUUUUUUUUGUGCCCAUUUUGCCCAUUACUGAACGUUGAACGAUUUUUAACUCUACUUAGUUGAACAGAUUGAUCUCUAGAAUUGCUAGAAAUAUAUUUUGACCUAAAAUUUUAGUUAUUUUAAUGUGACUUUUGCUUUACCAAUUUUUUUUUCGAUUUGUCCUACUUUUGAUGAACGUAAAUGUGAUUAAUGUUAGUGAAUCAGUAGGACCACUUUUUUUGGUUAUUUUGCUGUAAAUUAUUUGUGUAUUGUUUUAUAAAAAUGUUAUUUCUAUUUCUUCUUAAAAUUGCAUGUUAGAAUGUAACUGAAAAGGAAACUACCGUGCAUAGCCGGGCGCUCCACCAACUAGUAUAUAGAUAAACAUCAUCAUGUCUUUCUUUUUCCUUUUAUCUUUAUUCUUUUCUUUAAUAAAAAAGUAAAACUCUUUUUUUUUUGUUCUUUUUUUUCUUCUCCAUCCCAUCCGUGCUAUUCUCUCUUGCCCUUUGUACAUAUAUAUAAACAACAAAAAAAAGGCCAGUGGCCGAAAGUUUUUGUAAUAUUACACUUAAGUCCCUCAAACUUCAAUAUUUUUUUUAAUUUAUCUCAAAAGUAUGAAUCUUUCAAUUAAACUCCAAAAAUUACUUUACAUUAUCUAUUAAUACUUUAGAAUAUAAAAUUUAUUAAUUUACAUUAAUUAACAUCUAUUAUACAUGUUCGUAUUUAUUGUAUUAUUUUAUAUCUCAUUUGCUUAAUUAGCAUAUUUUAAAAAUUCGGGAUGUUACAUUGUGUCACUACUUGGGUUUGUCGAAUUUGUAGCUUUAAUGUUGUUGUAAUUUUUUUUUUUUUUUUUGGCCUAAUUCGAGUUUUACAUUAGUUGAUUUGUUGGAGAAUGUGCUUCUAUGGUUUGGAUUUUUAUAUGAUUUUGUUCAUUCAAUAAUAUGGCAACCUUUUUCUAACCUCUCUUUGGCGGCUGAGAAAACUGUAAAUUUGAGAAUUAGAACACAGACAAUGUAAUGAAUUAGCUAUUGAUGCUCUGGAAAAAAAUUACUGGGGAAGAAAAUUCACUAUGUAUAGAAUUUGUGCUACCAACCAGCAAAGGCUAAACAAAAGAAAAACACUAGUAAGCCUUUAUGGAAAGUGAAGCAUGAAGUCGCUGCAAGAGAAUUCAUAUUUAAUGGCACCAAGAUAAUUAUGUUUGCUACUAUCAGCACGAUUCUUUUGCUUGAACUCAUCUUAGACAACCCUAGUUCUUGUAUGAUAAUAAGAAACGUAUGAUUCUUAAUGAAUCCUCACAUUCUUCUUUUUUUUUUUUAGCAUUGUGCUAUUAAAAUUACAAGUUAGUAGCAUGAUUAAAUUAUUUAAUACUUUUUAGAUAGUUUGAGAUUUCUUAAACUUUUGAAAUAGAAAACUGAGAGUGGUUUAUUUAAUAGGAUAAUCAAGUAUAAAACCUGAGAUAAGGCAAAAAAGGUCUUUGACCACAUUUGUCUUCCUUUAUCCACCACCCUUAUCCACUCAUUCGAAAAAGGUAUCCAAACAAAGUGUAAAAGUUAUUCCCCCUUAUUUAAUUACUCCAUCAAACAAAGUUAAAAGUUAUCCCCCCUUCAAAAGUUUAUCCUCCUCUAAAAAAUUAUCUCCCUGACUAAAAACUAUCCCCUGAUACUAUUUGGCAGCGCUUAGGCCGGAUGAAAUAUCAUGGGAUAAGGUUUUUAGAGGGGGGGAUAACUUAGAGGGGGGGAGGGGGAUAACUUUUAACUUUAUUUGGAUACUUUUUAGAAUGAGUGGAUAAGGGUGGGAUAAGGAAGAAAAUAUCUAGGAGAAAACAAAAUGCAAAAAUAUCGAUAUAACAAAAAAAAAAAAUAGAUAUAUAUAUAUUAUAUUAUAUAAAAAUAUCUAAUAUAAAAGAUGGGAAAUGAUUUUCUACACUCCAAAAAUGAUAUCUACACUCCAAAAUAGGGUGUAGAAAUCAACACCAUUAUGGUAUUGAUUUAACACUCCUAUUUUGGAGUGUAGAUAUCAAAAAAUGGAGUGUAGAAAUAACAUUUAUAUAAAGAAUUCAUAAAAUAUCUAUCUGUAUCUAUAUAUCUGUCAUGAAUAUCUUUAUAUUUAGAUAUUAUGUAUAUGUAUAUUAUAUUUAAUAUCUAGAUAUUUUACAAUUUUGUUUGUCUUUAUAUAUAUAUUGUCUUCCGUAUCCCCCACUCUUACCUCCCGGAUAAACUUUUAAUUAGGGUGAGGGCACCCAUAAAAAUUUAUCCGUCCUAUCCUCCGCUAGAGAGAAAAAGAGUUAUCCGGAGGAAAAAGUGAUCGAGCGGGUUUUCACCAUCCAAUGGAAUAGAAAAAGUUAUCCGGGGAAAAAAGUUAAUACGCCCGUAUCCUCCCGUUCAAACAGGCCUUUAGGGUAGGUAGCCAUCAGAAGGAAUCUGUUGGGGAUCACUUUCUUUUUACAUGCUUGCCACUUUAUCAUUCAUCGUUCUGCAAAAUUCAAGGGAUACUAGAACCAGGUAAUACUUUACGGCGCAAACGUUACAGAGACUGUAUUUGAUAUUUCUUGGUAAAUAUAUGUUAGGUAGUCUGUUAAAUUGGUUGAGGUCCCCGGAAAGACGAACAGCAAGUUAACCGAACAUGUACAGAUCUGAAACAGUUCGUUAAAAAUAGCAAAACAAGUGGUACCUAAAAGGGAGAAUAAACAUCGAAUAUCAGCACCUUAUUGACUAAAUGUAAAAAUUGAAGGAUCAAUUUCCAUUUCCCUGGCACCUUACUUCAUGAUACAACGAAUCUUUUUUGCCUAGAAAGUAGGGUAAUUACUUCCUUCUUGAUCUUUUCCUGAAACGAUUCGAUGCCAAACAAUCUGCAUGCACAACAAGCUCAUCAUUCUGUUAAAUGAAUCCAGAAUUCACAGUUCCAAUUGGCAAUGUUUUGUUGGAAAUUUACAAAAUUUAGGUAUAAAUUGUUGGGAAAAAUCAGUCCCACCCAUAACGAAAACACACAAAUUAAAACACACAAACUAAAAUAGAGAACACAAGAUAUACGUGAUUUUGCCUACGUCCACGGGAGAAAGAGAAAUUCACUAAUACAAGUGAUUACAAUGAGAAAAUAAAAAUACACAACCUAGAACCCUAACUCACUUUGUAUUUUUAUUUUCCUCUCUCACACUUCUCACUUUUGUAUUUUCACUUUUUCUCUCCUUUUUUUUUCUUCUCACUACACCAAAUACUUAGCCUAUACAAAAAGGUUUAUAUAGGCAUCAAAAAGACAACAUCUGAGAAAAAUUAAUUUAGCCAUUGAAGGCUUUCCUUGGGAGUUCAAAAACUCCUACUUUUGGAAGAAACAAAUCACUAUUGGGAGAGAACGAAACAAGUUGGUCAAACCAUUGAACCAAUAUUGAGUCAACUUUCUAAUAAUCUCCACAUCCCGUUGAUCUAUGGGGUCCAUUAAUCAUUUAUAUGGUGAACCCCAAACAAUCCACCCCUUUGAACGGCACCACCUGUCAAGGGGGUGGACUCGCACUCCUCUACCGGGGUUGGGUACUCGAUAUAUAAAAAAAAUAAACAAGACAUAAUUUGAGAAAAAUUAUGUGGUUGUGGUUGUGCAGCCAUGAGAGGCUCCGUGGUAUAUCAUGAGGCUCACAUCUGAUCACCACUCAAAAAAGUAUUCACUGAAUAAAAAAACUCGGUAACCAAAGCAUGGUAACCAAUGCAACUAAAAAACCCUAAAAACUGACCUAAACAGGACUUAUUCUCCUAUCCUCUUCAUUGGUGUUCAUUAAACUAAAUUACCCAAAUGUCCUUAUACAUAGUUGAAACAUUUUAACAAAAGUAUUAUUAAAAUAAAUAAAUAAAAAUGUAUUUGAAUAGUUUAAUCGAAUAAAAACAAAAACUAAAAGUCCAUAAAGACAGUAUGGAAUUCACUAUCCCUUUUUUUUUCUCUUUUCCGACUUCCAAACACACCCUAUCUCAGACAUAUGAAGAAGAAAGAGAGCAGUACAUAAAAAUAAAGCUCCCAACGGUAACAUACAAAAGGGUUUGAUUCAGAUUACCUUCUUUUUUCAAGCACUGGACAAAAAUAGUUGUCGCUAAACAAUUGAUGAUCAUGAUAGUCGUAAAGCAAGCGAUGAUUAUUCUUUGAUUUAUCCAAAAUAAUCAAACAAUUUCUUCAAUAACUGAACCAAUAUGUGGAUACAGAUCAGGCAUUCACGCUCAUAUCUUAAUUCUCAGUCAUCACAGAUUCUCUCUCCAGGUAGGGCCGACAUCGGCCUCGAAGGUCACCACCUAAACUCCUUUUAAAUUAAGGGCCAAUUAACUUUGUACCUUAGGGCAUGUUUAGCUGGUGGAUUAGGAGGGGAUAACUUUUCCCCCGGCGUUUUGCGGAUAACUUUUUUCCCAGCAGGUGGAUAGAGACGGAUAUUUUUUAGGUGGCCUAAACGCCAAUUAAAAGUUAUCCCGGGAUAAGUGGUGGGGGAUAAAAAAAUAAUAUAAAAAAACAAAAUUUAAUAAUUUUUUUUUAUAUAUAUAGAAAAAAAAUAAAAUAUAUAUUUUUAAUAUUAAGAUAUUUUACAUUUUUUUCUCUAUAUAUAUUUUACUCCUUUCUCACACCCUUAUCAACCCAUUCUAAAAAGUAUUCAAACAAAAUUAAAAAUUAUCCCCCUCUAAAAUUUAUUCUCCCUCUUAAAAGUUAUCCCCUUCCCAUAUCCUCCAGCCAAACGGGCCCUUAAAGUGUUGACAAUACCCACUUUGCCCUUCUAGCUAAUAAUUUUUCAACAUUGGCCCUUCAACAAUUAAAAUACUUAAAAUGAGCACAGUUACGGUUCCAUAAUUUAUACCCAAAAAAUGUUUUUACAAUUUAAAAUGAAUGA
rnacentral:lncRNA from 1 species